rnacentral:lncRNA from 1 species
CCCUAGUACAGGAUGCACAAUUCCAAAAUAGCUUGGAGAAGAAUGGACUCCAGGGUAUGGAUGACCAGCAGACAUCACGUUUUCUUGUUUGCCCUCACUGUAAUCAGGUGCUGCACUGACAGAAACAUCAUCAUCACUCUGCAAAUUUUCUGGUACAGGAGACGGCGAAUGGGGCUGAUCAGGAUAAGCUCCCUCCUCAGCAACUGCAACUGUAUCUUGA